UAAAAUUUAACGUGAUGUUUUUUGGAAAAAGAUUGGGAACUAAACGGGCCCUGAGUUGUGCUUGGAAGCAUGGCUUAAUGAUUAGGGGCAUGAGACAUAGGGAUGGCUUCGGCUAUUAGUCAAUUGCUUGGUGUUUUUUUCCCAGAUUGUUAUUCUUUUCUUCCGAUUUAGAUAGAUUUGAGUAUGCGUUAUCCACUUAAUUGACCUAUAAACGGGUUGACGGACAAACCCACUUACACCCCUAGCUUUGAGAUUCAUGCAAAUCUAUACUCCCUCCGUACUCGAAUUUCUGGUCGUUCUAGGAGGAGAACAUAUUACCGUUUUUCUGUUCGUUCUGAGAGAAGUAGCCAUUUUGAGCCCAUUUUACCCCUGCAAAACACACAGUCCCAAUGCAAUUAAUACUUGACGUCGCUUUGUUUCACGAGCUGCUGCAGCCAUGCACGAAGCGUCAGGUUGAUAACCAGCCACCCAUGCACAACACCAGAGAAUAGCUCUCCAUAGCUAGGUCGCUGCUUUCUGGAGCAUGCAGCUCGCAGCGCCUUGAAGCUCGUCGCCGGCGAAGCUCAUCGCCAUGGAUGCUGCCAUCUCGCCGCGCAUGGAGGCCAAGCCAAAGGACGUUAGCAAGAGAAGCUCGUUGCCAUGGACGCCGCGCCGGAGAAGCUCGUCGCCAUCUCGCCGCGCAUGGAGGCCAAGCCAAAGGACGUUAGCUAGAGAAACUCGUCGCCAUGGACGUCGCGCUAGAGAAACUCGUCGCCAUCUCGCCGCGCAUGGAGGCCAAGACAAAGGAUGUCGCGCUGGAGAAGAUCAUGCAAAAAUACAAAAGAAAUGUAAAAAAAUACAAGACCUCGUGUUUAAGUGCUUCCUGCGCUAGCCAAUACACUGGAAAGAUAAUUCUAAUAAGAACAGACUCCAAACCAUAUUUUAUAGGGGCAUACAUGGAAAAAUAGAGCUGUACUAAUGACUUCUUGGUAUGCUAAAUCAUGUCCAAAACGACCAGAAAUUCGAGUACGGAGGGAAUAUGUACUAAAGACAUCUCCCUCCUCCAGAUCCCCAGUCUCACCCACAAACAUUUAUCCAGCAAAUUAAUGUAUUAAUUCCUCCUUUGCUCUUUUUUUAAGUCGUUAACUUUAGAACUACAUUUAACAUUUUAUCUUAUUCAAAUAUUUGUAUAAUUCUUAAUUAUUUUGUUAUAAUUUAAAUUAUUUCUAAAGUAAAUUUAUCAUAUCUGCAAAAAAAAUUAAAUAAAACGAACAUAGAUAAAAAAAUCAAUAACAUUCGAUAAAAAAAACAUACGGAGUAUAUUAUUCUCGCUGAAACCAAAUAAAUGGAUCAUAUAAGCGUUGUUCCAGUAAAAGAUACUAGCAACAAACGACUUGCCGGCUUUGCUGCCAUGUAGAUUGGCGCUCUCUCUCUCUGAGAAACCGGGAAAGCGACCAUGUGAUGGAUGCCGCUGGCGAGCGGACAACGCCGGAUUCUGGCGACCCCACCAUCGCGCGCGCUACGCCGGCCGCUUUGAGUUUCCCCCGGCCGGACGGACGGACGCACCGUCGCCAUCCCCGGCCCCCUCUUAAUUUGCUUUCUUUCUCGACCAGCCUAAACCUCUGCAUAUCUGCAGAGAUCGAUGGACGGACGCAUCGCUAUCAUCCAUGCAUGGUCCGAGCUAGCUAGCUACCCCUAUAGCUGAGCUGCUUGGUUUGCCUUUUGGUCCUCCUCGUCGUCAUGUAUUGGUAGGAGGAGCUGCUGGAUGCGAUCGAUCGAUCACCACCGGUCGGGGCGGCCGGCCGGCCUUUUCUGGCUUUUGAGAGAGAGUAUAUAGUGG
rnacentral:lncRNA from 1 species